ACUGGAAACCAUCACGGGCGUUGAGGUUACUCUGCGUCCGUGUAUGCAUAUUCAGGGUAAGAAAAAAUGG
rnacentral:sRNA from 1 species